AGUUGUUGUGGAUGUUGAUGCUGGUGGCAGGAAUAAAUCUGCAGACCUCUGACUGAAGGUUGUUGCUGUCUGAAAGUCUCAUAUCUGUCAUAAGGGCAGAGAGACGCUGGUGUCGGGUUGAGGAUCCUUGCCCAUAAUGAUCGAUGAUAGAGAUUAAUCGACGGAACAUAAAGACUCGUUUUCAACUCCUCUGCAUCUGGGGUUCAUAGUUCAGGUAUUAUUUGAACUCUUGAGCUAAUCAAAAGAUCCCGGUUUCAAUAAAAAGAUACCUUAUUACCAUGGUUACACUUCAAAACAACAGUCUUUCCAGCUGCACAGCGUCUAAAACCAAAGGGAAAGCUAGUAGAGACACAGCAAAAGACAGCAGCUGUAGAAAAAAAUGGUCUGCAAGGUACCAACUCAGGUGGUC